UAGGGAAUCUUCGGCAAUGGGGGGAACCCUGACCGAGCAACGCCGCGUGAGUGAAGAAGGUUUUCGGAUCGUAAAGCUCUGUUGUUAAGGAAGAACGAGUGUGAGAAUGGAAAGUUCAUACUGUGACGGUACUUAACCAGAAAGGGACGGCUAACUACGUGCCAGCAGCCGCGGUAAUACGUAGGUCCCGAGCGUUGUCCGGAUUUAUUGGGCGUAAAGCGAGCGCAGGCGGUUAGAUAAGUCUGAAGUUAAAGGCAGUGGCUCAACCAUUGUAGGCUUUGGGAAACUGUUUAACUUGAGUGCAGAAGAAGGGGAGAGUGGAAUUCCAUGUGUAGCGGUGAAGUGCGUAGAUAUAUGGAGGAACACCGGUGGCGAAAGCGGCUCUCUGGUCUGUAACUGACGCUGAGGCUCGAAAGCGUGGGGAGCGAACAGGAUUAGAUACCCUGGUAGUCCACGCCGUAAACGAUGAGUGCUAGGUGUUAGGUCCUUUCCGGGACUUAGUGCCGCAGCUAACGCAUUAAGCACUCCGCCUGGGGAGUACGACCGCAAGGUUG
rnacentral:rRNA from 1 species